CCACUGAGUGUGAUGAAUUAAAAUAAUAAAUAAAAAAAUAAAAAAAGUUCACCCAGGGCGAGGCUCGGCCAUUGCACUCCGGGUUGUGCUGACCCCUGCGAAUUCCCCAAAUGUGGGAAUCUUGACUGCAUAAUUUAUGGUAGUGGGGGACUGCGUUCGCGCUCUCCCCUG